rnacentral:rRNA from 1 species
GACGAACCGUGCGAACGUUGUUCGGAAUCACUGGGCUUAAAGGGCGCGUAGGCGGCUCGCGAGGUCGGGGGUGAAAUCCCGCAGCUUAACUGCGGAAGGGCCUUCGAUACCGGCGGGCUGGGGGAAGGUAGGGGUGCGCGGAACUUCUGGUGGAGCGGUGAAAUGCGUUGAUAUCAGAAGGAACGCCGGCGGCGAAAGCGGCGCACUGGACCUUUUCUGACGCUGAGGCGCGAAAGCUAGGGGAGCAAACGGG